rnacentral:lncRNA from 1 species
AGCAAGAGAGCAGAGUGAAACAGCGCAAAUUGCCUACUAUCAUUCAAUGAGUGACAAACUUCCAACCAAUCUUUAGAUUCCAACCCUAUAACAAGUCCCUGAAAACUUACAAAAAAAAAAAAAAGUUCCAUCAAAUGGUUAGAAACACAGUAAUUUAAGAAAGAAGAAGAAGAAGAAGAAAUGGCAAGAGGGUUCCCCCAGAUGCGGAUCCAAGAUUCCGAAUUCUACCACACCCCAUCUAAUUUACUCCGCUCAAAAUCUAGUAUUCCUACUUCUUUAGUGAAUAUUUUUAACACAUAUACUUAAUAAACUCAUCCAUUACUCUUGGUACUAAGUCCUUUAAGGAAGAAAUAAAAAGAAAAAAGACUUUAAACUUUAUGCACCGAUACCAUAUAGAUUUUUUACACCAUUAAUUAAUGAAACAAGAAAAUCAAGUAACUCUUUCUAUCAAUCUUUGAUAUGGUAACCUGAAAAUAGAGUAAAAACAUGCAAUUACACUAAGGGGUCCUUUGGUAUGAGGUGUAAAAAGAUAUAGUGGUGAUCUAAAAAUUUAAUACCACCUUAAUACUCUAUUUAGUUAGCAAACCAGAAUAACUUGGGGUAACACUGAUAUAAUUUAUACCUUCUUUGUAGAAAUUAUACAAUUGUCAUUCUUAAUACAACAUAUCAAACAGUAAAUAAACAACAAUCCCAUCAUGGCGAAACCUAAUAUAACAUUUCCCGAUAUAACUUAUACUGACAUAACUUAUACCGGUAUAAAUCGUAUUUCAGCCAAACAAUUCCUGUAGUAUAAAAACAAUUACACCGUCAGAUAAAAUAGAGAGAUGCCUGGAUUUUGCUAUCUGGGUCGGCAAUAGGUUCAAGAUUUUCAGAUGGGAUGUAAUCAACGGUGGAAUCUGGCACAGGGGCCUUGUUUUCAUCAUUGACAACAUCUUCAGGCUG